GACGAACGCUGGCGGCGUGCUUAACACAUGCAAGUCGAACGGAAAGGCCUCUUUCGGGGGGUACUCGAGAGGCGAACGGGUGAGUAACACGCGAGUAACAUGCCCUUGACAUUGGGAUAACUCCAGGAAACUGGGGCUAAUACCGGAUAGGAGCUCCUGCUGCACGGUGGGGGUUGGAAAGAUUCGGCGGUUGGGGAUGGACUCGCGGCUUAUCAGCUUGUUGGUGGGGUAGUGGCUUACCAAGGCUUUGUCGGGUAGCCGGCCUGGGAGGGUGACCGGCCACAUUGGGGCUUGGGUUCGGCCCAGACUCCUACGGGGGGCAACAGGGGGGAAAAUUUCACAAUGGGUGGGAGCCUUAUGCAGCAACGCCGGGGGCGGGAUGACGGGCUUCGGGUUGGAAACCGCUUUCGCUCAUGACGAAGCUUUGUGUGACGGUAGUGGGUAAAGAAGCACCGGCUAACUACGUG
rnacentral:rRNA from 1 species